AUUGAACGCUGGCGGCAGGCUUAACACAUGCAAGUCGAGCGGAGCGAGGGUGCUUGCACCUUAGCUUAGCGGCGGACGGGUGAGUAAUGCUUAGGAAUCUGCCUAUUAGUGGGGGACAACAUUCCGAAAGGAAUGCUAAUACCGCAUACGCCCUACGGGGGAAAGCAGGGGAUCUUCGGACCUUGCGCUAAUAGAUGAGCCUAAGUCGGAUUAGCUAGUUGGUGGGGUAAAGGCCUACCAAGGCGACGAUCUGUAGCGGGGCUGAGAGGAUGAUCCGCCAAACUGGGACUGAGACACGGCCCAGACUCCUACGGGAGGCAGCAGUGGGGAAUAUUGGACAAUGGGCGGAAGCCUGAUCCAGCCAUGCCGCGUGUGUGAAGAAGGCCUUUUGGUUGGAAAGCACUUUAAGCGAGGAGGAGGCUACUUAGAUUAAUACUCUAGGAUAGUGGACGUUACUCGCAGAAUAAGCACCGGCUAACUCUGUGCCAGCAGCCGCCGUAAA
rnacentral:rRNA from 1 species